UAGAUACAGGGAUGAGACCCAAAAGAGCCGGCAGAGGUUUGUCAUCGUGCUCGCAAGGCAACUGCCGGUGGCUGAUCCCGUAAAGGAUACACAUACCUAGAGCGGAGCCUAAAGAUGCAUCCAGCAUGACGGGUGGAGCCACGAUGCUUGGACUCGACUCUGCUCCUGUGCGUUCCGUGAUCAAUGGCUUAUACUACCUGCACCUCAGUUUUUCCCGGGCAAAAAAGGAAGCUUGCUGCCGGUGCGUUGGCACCUGCCUUAAAGUGCCAGCUACUCAGCGGGCUGAAGAGGAAGAAGUUCCUACUAGGAAGACACGUGGACACGUAUGUUUACUGCAGCACUAUUUACAAUAGCAAAGACUUGGAACCAACUCGAAUGCCCAUGAAUGAUAGGCUGGAUAAAGAAAGUGUGGCACGUAUACAGCAUGGAAUUACUACGCAGCCAUAAAAAAGGAUGAGUUCAUGACCUCUGCGGGAACGUGGAUGAAGCUGGAAGGCCUCAUUCUCAGCAAACUGACACAGGAAGCGAAAACCAAACACCGCAUGUUCUCGCUCCUAAGUGGGAGUUGAACAGCGAGAACACAUGGGACACAGGGAGGGGAACAUCACACGCCGGGCCCUGACGGGGCGUGGGGGGCAAGGGGAGAGAGAGCAUUAGGACAAAUAGCCAACGCAUGCGGGGCUUCAAACCUAGACGACUGGUGGAUAGGUGCAGCAAAGCACCGUGGCACACGUGUACCUAUGUUCCAAACCUGCACGUCCUGCACAUGUACCCCAGAACUUGGGAGGGGGUGGGGGAAACCAAAAGAGCGAGGGAGAGGCGGGGGGGG
rnacentral:lncRNA from 1 species